AAAACCCUAGAUAUAAAGGUCUUCCCUCAUUUUCUCCACAUACUUUUGAGGAGUUUCAAGUUCUAUUUCUUUCAAAAUUGCUUGAAGUUAGGAGUUCUCAUAGCCACUGGACAUCUACUUUUCAGGGGAAUGUUCUGUGAUUGUUCAUACAUAGAAAAUUUCAAAAGUAUUGUUCUUCACAUCAAUAUUCUGAGCAGAAGGCUUAAUCAGGAGUGGGUUUUUCUUUGACUUGUUUCUUUUUCCUUGAAGGGAUUUGAUCCUGUAGGAAAUGCAGAAACUUUUGGUUUAUUUUUUAAAAAUUAGAACUUCUUUAAUGCUUCUUGCAACUCAUAUUUCCUUGCCUAUUUAGAGCCAUUUAAGAAGAAUGCCUUGGUCCUGAUCUUCAACUGAGGAGACUUGGGACUCUCCUGUCCCCUAUUGAUUGUUUUCUUGAGUUCUCAAGGGCCUGUGGCCAACCCUAUUUAUCGAUCUGUUUAUCUGUCUAUCUUAAAGUCACCUGUUUCUCUCUAAUUGCAUCAUCUUGCACACUGAUGUCUAACUAUAUAGUAUUUAGAACUCUUUUCACAUUCUUUUUGAACAGUCAUUGCCUAUAAUUUCUCAGCUUUUCCUUGGUUUCCUUAUUAGGAGCUCAUCUGGCAAGGAAAUGCAGCUAGCUUGUCCUCUCUCCAUACUGGACCAUCUACAUCAGUAUUCUAACUCUUCCCUGAUGGUCUCUGACAUCUGCAGACUAUUACGCCAGACUCAGUAGUUACUCUUAAGCAAUUUUUAGGUGGAGUUGGUCCUAUUAGGAAGAGACUCUUGAUGUCAGCUUCCUUAUCCUCAAAGGGGGUUCCUUCCCUUGAAGUUUUUUAAAUCUUUGAAAAUUUGAUACUGUUUCAGCUGAAAAAUUAGCAAGAUUAUUAAAUAAGUUAAGAGGAGCUAUUUAAGAUGCUGAAGAGUAGUUACAAACUACAUUGGAUAAUUGUGACUUUCAGUUCUGUAUCAGUUUAAUUUUUAUGCUCUUUUCCCUGUGUACAUGGUGGUUCUAUUUUUCUUCAAUAAAACUUUUAUUCAAAAAAG
ensembl:lncRNA